rnacentral:rRNA from 1 species
UACAGAGGGGGCAAGCGUUGUUCGGAAUUACUGGGCGUAAAGGGCGCGUAGGCGGCCUGUUAAGUCGAACGUGAAAUCCCCGGGCUCAACCCGGGAACUGCGUCCGAUACUGGCAGGCUUGAAUCCGGGAGAGGGAUGCGGAAUUCCAGGUGUAGCGGUGAAAUGCGUAGAUAUUUGGAGGAACACCGGUGGCGAAGGCGGCAUCCUGGACCGGCAUUGACGCUGAGGCGCGAAAGCCAGGGGAGCAAACGGG